rnacentral:rRNA from 1 species
AUCGAACAGGNUUAGAUACCCUGGUANNNNCGCCNUAAACGAUGAUCACUCGNUGUUAGCGANAUACAGUUAGCGGNUAAGCAAAAGCAUUAAGUGAUCCACCUGGGGAGUACGGCCGCAAGGCUGAAACUCAAAGGAAUUGACGGGGGCCCGCACAAGCGGAGGAACAUGUGGUUUAAUUCGAUGAUACGCGAGGAACCUUACCUGGGCUUAAAUGUAGAGUGCAUGAGGUAGAAAUACUUCUUUUCUUCGGAACUCUUUGCAAGGUGCUGCAUGGUUGUCGUCAGCUCGUGCCGUGGGGUGUCGGGUUAAGUCCCAUAACGAGCGCAACCCUUAUCGUUAGUUGCCAGCGGGUAAUGCCGGGGACUCUAGCGAAACUGCCGGUGUAAACCGAGAGGAAGGUGGGGAUGACGUCAAAUCAGCACGGCCCUUAUGUCCGGGGCUACACACGUGUUACAAUGGCCGGUACAGAGGGCAGCUACCUGGAGACAGGAUGCGAAUCUCGAAAGCCGGUCUCAGUUCGGAUCGGAGUCUGCAACUCGACUCCGUGAAGCUGGAUUCGCUAGUAAUCGCGCAUCAGCCAUGGCGCGGUGAAUACGUUCCCGGGCCUUGUACACACCGCCCGUCAAGCCAUGGAAGUUGGGGGUACCUGAAGUCCGUAACCGUAAGGAGCGGCCUAGGGUAAAACCAGUGACUGGGGCUAAGUCGUAACAAGGUAGCCGUACCGGAAGGUGCGGCUGGAUCACCUCCUU